AUGUCGGAUUCAGAACGUGAAGACCGGGACAAAGGAAGGAACUACUACGUGAAAGCCUCAAUAGGCCAAGGCGAAUACUACUGCCAAUGCUGCAAAUUCGAACGGGACGGCAUUGUGUGCUGUCACAUACUAAAAGUAAUGGACAUGAACGCGGUGACACGUAUGCCCCGCCAUUUCAUAAGGCGGCGAUGGACUUGGGACGCUGACGACGCAUUGGCGCCAGAGACAACAAACGCAGUUUUGGCUGUGCAUGACGAGAGACCGGAGUCAACCAUGGAAGCUGUGAGGCACGUUGUGUUGACAAAGAACUAUGCUGAACUAAUUGAUGAAGCGUGCAAGAGUGAUGAGACAGCGAGGGUCGUAGAAAAACACAGGAAGGCCCUGAAAAGAGAGCUUGAUGAGAUCAAGAAGAGGAAAGCUGAGGAAGCCUUACACAGGUUCCCCUGCACAUCAAGUGUGCCUUCAUCCACGGGGCCAUCAUCUGAAAACUCGGAGAUAGGAUCUGGAACAGCAAGCACACAAACCCAGGUCGGGAACCCGCCCCGUUCCAUCACAAAGGGGCGUCCAAAAGAGAUAAGAUACAAAUCGGGAUUGGAGAUUCAAGCAAAACACAAGAAAACAAAGAAAGGGACAAGCAAUCUGUAA
rnacentral:rRNA from 1 species